CUCGUUGAUCCUGCGAGAGAUUGCUGCUAUCGGGAUUCGAAUUAGCCAUGCAAGUCAGGGGUAGCAAUACCCCGGCAGAAUGCUCAGUAACACGUCGAUAAUCUGCCCUUAGGUCCGGGAUAACCUUGGGAAACUGAGGACAAUACCGGAUUGGAAAUGGAGGCUGGAAUGCAUCAUUUCUCAAAAGUAAUGCCUAAGGAUGAGACGGCGGCCGAUUAGGUAGUUGGCGGUGUAAUGGACCACCAAGCCAAAGAUCGGUAGGGGCCUUGAGAGAGGUAGCCCCGAGAAGGGCACUGAGACACUGGCCCUAGCCCCACGGGGUGCAGCAGGCGCGAAAACUCCACAAUGCGCGAAAGCGUGAUGGGGGGAUCCCGAGUGCUCAUGUUUUAUACAUGGGCUUUUGCCAAAUGUAAACAGUUUGGCGAAUAAGUGGUGGGCAAGACCGGUGCCAGCCGCCGCGGUAACACCGGCGCCACAAGUGGGAAUCACAUUUAUUUGGCCUAAAGCGUUCGUAGCCGGCUUGGUAAAUCUCUUGUGAAAUCGUUUUUUUAAAACAAACGACGUGCUGGAGACACUGCCUCGCUAGGGACUGGGAAGAGUCAGGAGUAUGGAUAGGGGAGCAGUAAAAUGCUAUAAUCCUUUCUAGACUACCGGUGGCGAAGGCGCCUGACUAGAACAGAUCCGACGGUGAGGGACGAAAGCUAGGGGAGCAAUCCGGAUUAGAUACGAGAAAUUUUCCCAGAAAAAAUUUCUGGAAUUAGCUUCGGAAUGAUUGCAACACUACUAUUUCCGAAACAUAACCAGAAUAAUUUGAAAAUUCCUCGCUAAUUACCCGAGUAGUCCUAGCCGUAAACGCUGCGAGCAAGGUGUUGCACAAUCUUUGGGAUUGUGCAGUGUCGAAACGAAGGUAUUAAGCUCGCCGCCUGGGAAGUACGGUCGCAAGACUGAAACUUAAAGGAAUUGGCGGGGGAGCACUACAAGGGGUGCGGCGUGCGGUUUAAUUUAAUUCAACACAGAGAAUCUCACCAGGAGCGACGGCAGAAUGAAGGACAGCCCGACUGGCUCUCCUAACGAGCCGAGAGGUGGUGCAUGGCCGGCGUCAGCUCGUGUCGUAAGAUGUCCUGUUAAGUCAGGCAACGAGCGAGACCUAUACGUACAAUUGCUAACGGGUUCGAGAGAACGACUGAGCACAUUGUACGAACUGCCUUGGAAACGAGGAGGAAGGUGUAGGCCACGCUAGGUCUGUAUGCCCCGAAUCUCUUGGGCAACACGCGCGCAACAAUGGUAGGGACAAUGGGAUGCGACACCGAAAGGUGAAGCCAAACCUCGAAACCCUAUCUUAGUCCAGAUUGAGGGCUGCAACCCGCCCUCAUGACGUUGGAAUCCCUAGUAAUCAGAGGUCAACAUCCUCUGGUGAAUACGUCCCUGCUCCUUGCACACACCGAAACAAAUGUGCCGGGCAGUUACCAUAACUAGCUGGUGAAAAUCCAGCCAUUGUAGCCAAAAAGGCAGGCGUUUUCUGGUAACAGAAACGCUGAAGGGCUUGAGGCAAAGUUCAGCCUGUUAUCCCGCAAGGGAUGCAAAAGUGAGGUUGAAGAUGACGCGUAUUACGGGUCGGUGGUACGCGGAAAUUUUCCGGAUUUUCCGAACAAGAAAAUUUAAAUCUCAAUGGGAUGAAUGAAAAAGUAAUGGUAAUGACCCCGGGAGAUCCUCAAAAAGAGGAAGUCAGCCUGCUUCAUAGUACCGUAAAGGGAAGGAAGCAGACCCUAGAUGCAAGUUACGUGGUUGGUUUAGUAGACGGAGAAGGCUCUUUUAACGUAAGAGUCAACCGUCAAAGAAGAAGAGCAAGAGUUGAAUUAAAAUUCAGCUUAAAACUCAGAUAUCAAGACAAAGAGAUGCUUGAUUCGCUUCAACAUUUUUUGGGAUGCGGAAAAGUUUACAUCCAAAGAGAUGACAGAAAGAAUCACAGCCUUUGUUAUAGGUUUGAAGUGCAAAACAAAAAACAAAUUGUUGAGCAAAUCAUUCCAUUCUUUGACAAAAAUCCACCUAAGAUUCCAAGCAGGUACAGAGAUUUUGAAUUGUUCAAACAAAUCGUAGAACUUUCUUCGAAAGAACCGAUUGAUUUAGAAAAAAUUGAGCAAAUCAAAAGUCAAAUGCAUUGGGGGCUCGCCGCAUACGGGAAAUCCGUACGUGCGGUGGAAACGCGAAGCAACUAAAUGUUGUGAACGCAAUGCCCGUCAAACCACUCGAGCAGGGGUGAGAUGAGCCUCGGCGAAUUGGCCGUUGCGAAUCUUAUCUCAGUGAGAAGGGUUAAGUCGUCACAAGGUAGCCGUAGGGGAACCUGCGGCUGGAUCACCUCC
rnacentral:rRNA from 1 species